rnacentral:lncRNA from 1 species
AACUAGCACUUUUGGUACCUAAUUUUUUUUUUAACAGUUUAACGCUGGGCGGAUGAGGGGGAUUUCAUUAACAACAUUUAGCAAUAUAAUCUGAUACAAAUAUAGAUAACUGUUCAAUUUAAUAUGAUUUAGAUUUAAUUUACUUAAAUUAUAAUGAGUUAUCCAUUCGAUGUUGAUGAAAGAGUAGAGCCUAAAGGUUUAAUUAACAUAUAUUUACAAACAAUUUUUUUUAUAAUAUAAAAAAAAUUAUUCUUAUUACUUAAUUAUAUCAAACUUAAUUAUAAAAAAUUACUUAAUUAUAAAAAAAUUAUCUUUUAGAUAAUAAAGCACUUUAUAAAAUUAGUCAGUGUAUUAUAUCAGGAAUUAUUUGUCAUUUUGUAUUAUUAAAAAAAGGUUUUAAGUUAGUUGAUUUGAAGAUCUACAUAAUGUAACUCAUUCUUAAGAGUUUAGGAUGUUUUAACUUAUGACAUAUCUGAUGUAAUCAUGCCUGUGAUAUAAUCACAAUUUUAACUUGUGAUUACUUUACUUUAAAUGUUUAACUUGAAGUUAAAAGGUGUUAUGAUAAUUUAAAAAAUAUAAAUAAAAAGGUCAAAAUCUGAGUGCCUUUAUGUGCCAUUAUUUAGAACUAUAUCUUUAUCUAACCAAAAAAGAAGUUAACAUAAUUCUGUGCUAUAUAGAAAGUGUUUAGAGUUCAAAUUUUAAACCCAACUGUUGUGGGUUUAAAAUUUGAACAUAUACCAAAAGUAUUCAGUAGUUUAUGUAGUUAUCCUAGUAGUUUAUGUAGUUAUCCAAUUGCUCAUUAGUUAUGCAAUUAAAUAACUUUAUAAUUUUUAAAGGUAUCAUGCCUCCUAAGACAAAAAUGAUGCUUAUUGGCAAUUUAAAAAAAUAUAUAAUUGCUAACUUUACAUUGGCUACCAAAAUGAGCAUUGAUUGUAGAAAUGGGCAUAUACUAUUUAUAUUUAUUAACAACGGAGAGUUAUUUAAUAAAACUGUUGCACAAGUUUAUGAGCAUUUUAGCAUUAACACUUGCAAAAAUCAAAUCCAAAAAUUUUUUAGUGUAGUAAAAAAACGGUCUUAUAACUUUUCAAGAAAUGCCACUAAUGUAGCUGACUUUUGCAACAAGCCAUUUGUGUUCCAUGCCCUGGUGCUGACAGUCUCACAGCCAUUGCCACUUACCUCUAGUCCAAUUGAUACUGUUUCUUGUUCUUCAGUUGCAUCAUCAGAAAAUAUCAGUUUUAUAUCUCCAGUAAGUAGUGCAAAGCUAACUCCCACAAGCAAUAGCAAAAAUAAACAAAAUCUGCAUAUUUUACGAGAAAAAAUGACUCUUACAAAAAAAAAGUUACAGAGUUGGUUAUUUUAUUUGACAUCACAAUUAGCUAACUCUUCUAAAGAACAACGUUAUAAAAUAGCAUUAUUGAAAUCUGAAUUAAACAACAUGCCCUACAAAAUAAAAGUUUAAAGACAUUUAAAGUAAAAAAGAAAUUAUAAAAGCUUCGAGAGUUGGAGUUAGAAACUUGAAACAAAAAAUUUAAAUCAUGUUACUGCAAUAGGUAUAUUCACAAUCUUGUAAUGAAAAAAAGGAAAUAAAAAUUGAAGUUAGAGAACAGCUAAGACAAGUAAUGCUCAAACAUAAUACUGUUAGUAGAGAAAUUAAAAUUGAAAUUGCUAGAUUAGAAAAUGAUAUGACCUAAAUGGAGGAGGUUGAUUGUAUUGCUUCAGUUACGUCAGGAGAUAAUAAAGCUUACUAAAUACAAUCUAGAAUGAUAAUCUAUAGCAUUUUAUUGUGUAAUGUUCCAACAGGUAACAUUCUUCUCCUAUUGGAAAAAACUGCACAAUAUUUUAGUGUUGGUUUGUUGCAUAUUCCCAAGCGUAUUACUGUUGAGCAAAUGGCUCAUGAGGUUGGUUGCAUAUCUGACAUGCAAGCUGCAGAGUGGGCCAUCUGCAAUACAAAUAUUACUCUUGGGUUUGACGCCACCAUGCAGGAAGGUGUUCAUAUUAAUAGUGUCCACUUAAGGUCAAAAAAUAAAUGUUAGGUCAUUGCUUUGGACCAAUUGCCUGAAUUGUCUGAUUAUGAUGAAAAUUUGAUUAUAAUUGUCUGAUGAUUAUGAAAAACAUAUAGGUAAUGCAGUGGAUAAUAUGACUUCAAUUUAUUCCAAUUUUCAACACUACUGUAUUUUGUAACACAACUGCUAUAAAACUGUGUAUUCGUGGUUUAUUUGGAAAACUUCUCAGUGGGCCAUGGAUGACUAAUUUUAAUUUGAUAGUGAUAAAUUAAGAAAGUGAAGAGUUGAUGGGUAUGUUUAGUGAAGCUAAAGGGAGAUCCCUAAUGCAACUAUUUGUUAAAUAGAAUAUGACUAGAUUAUCUUGAUAGUCUUGACCAAAUAGAGAGAGAAAAUGUAGUUAAAUGGUUUAUUAAAGCAGCUCGUAUAAAAAGAAUAGCAAAUUGACUGAAUUAUACUGCAUUAUGAGCAGAGAUUUCAAAAAGACAGAAAAACAAAAGGCAAAAGAUGGGUGAAAAAGAAAAAAGGAAAACGGAGCGAGAGCUGAGUUCGCUAUCUUUUAAUGAAAUAAAGAAUUUAUAUGAGCACUUGUCUACUAAGCAACUUGAUGAAUUAUAUGAUUUAAUGUAUGAAAGAAUUGUUGGAAGAGAACUCUGCCAUGAAUGGUUUGAUACAGAUAAUAGCAAGUCUGUCAUUUAUGAUGGGAAAGUAGAAAAAGUCAAUAAAAGAAAAGAAGACAGAAUUUAUACUAUUUCCUUCUGGAAAAAAGAUGAAACUGUUGACCAUUACAUGUAAAAAUUCCAACUUGCUACUGAUAUUGUAUCAGGAGAGUUGAUAUUUUCUUAAUUUAAUAUGCUUUAAUGUUACUCAAUAUUAUUGUGCUUUAAUGUUACUGUCUAAUAGAAAAAGAAGUAUUGCAUGUGGUGUGACUUGCAAAAAGGUAUUGAAAAAACAGAUACUUUUUUGCAUCUAAUGUGGUAAUUUUGUUGAUGCAAAACAGAUACAACAAGUGGUGACUUGCAAUUAAAGUACCGCAUAUGGUGUGGCUAGCAAAAAUAUACCACAAGUGCAAAAUAGUAAUGGCAAAUGGUGUGACUUGCCAAAAGGAAACCGCAAGUGGUGUGACUUGCAUAGAAAAUACCGCAGGUGGUGUGACUUGCAAUUAUGGUAAUGCAAGUGGUAUGACUUACAAAAUAGGUACCACUAGUUGUGUUACUUACAGAAAAGGUACUGCAAUUGGUAUGAUUUGCAAUUUUUUUGAUAGACGGCUCUGGAUUACAUUCUUGUCGUGUCUAUUAUUAAAAAUGAUUGUUAUUUAGUUUCAUUGUGAAACAUAAACUUUUAAUCAUUCACUAAAAGCCAAGACGUAAGUUAGUAUUUGUUGUAAUUCAAAGUAUUUUUAUUUUUAAAUAUUUAUUUUAGGUAUUCGAACGCUGAUAUAAAGAAAGAAUGGCAACAUCUUAUAAUGUGGUAAAAUGAUGCAUCUUGUAAUGUGGUUGGAGGGCGUUGUGGCACACACCCCUACCCUUGAUUCUAAAUGUGCAGACGAGAAAUUUUUGUAAUUUAAAAAAAACAAAAAUUUUUGUAUUUAUUAUUUUACUUACUUUAUUUUGCUUACUUUUUUUUAAUAAAGAUAAAAAUAUUUAUUGAAAUUUUUAGUUAAUGGGUGUGUUAAACCGACACCCUUACACCCACCAUAACACAAUAAUAAACUUCUCUUAAUUUGGAAUGGUCUGAAGCAAAUUAUAACUACUUCUUGCAUAUGAAAAUUAAAAA